rnacentral:misc_RNA from 1 species
AAGACUAUAGACCUGCGGAGUACCUGCGGAAGGAUCAUUACAGAGUUUAUAACUCCUAAACCCUUUGUUAAUUUACCUUUUUGUUUCUUCGGCAGGUGGUCCCUGGGAGGGUCCUGUAGCCUUAUUAGGUACCUGCCGAAGGCCACAACUCGGUUUUACAUUUUUUGUCUAAGUCGUAUUAUAAAUAAAGUCAAAACUUUCAACAACGGAUCUCU